GAUGAACGCUAGCGGCAAGCUUAAUACAUGCAAGUCGUGGGGCAGCAUGAACUAGCAAUAGUUUGAUGGCGACCGGCAAACGGGUGCGGAACACGUACACAACCUCCCGAUAAGUGGGGAAUAGCCCAGAGAAACUUGGAUUAAUACCCCGUAACAUUGCGAUGUGGCAUCACAUUGCAAUUAUAGCUUCGGCGCUUAUUGAUGGGUGUGCGUAUGAUUAGAUAGUUGGCGAGGUAACGGCUCACCAAGUCUACGAUCAUUAGCUGAUGUGAGAGCAUGAUCAGCCACACGGGCACUGAGACACGGGCCCGACUCCUACGGGAGGCAGCAGUAAGGAAUAUUGGUCAAUGGACGAAAGUCUGAACCAGCUAUGCCGCGUGAAGGAUUAAGGUCCUCUGGAUUGUAAACUUCUUUAUAUGGGACGAAAAAAGGUCUUUCUAGAUCACUUGACGAUACCAUAUGAAUAAGC
rnacentral:rRNA from 1 species